ACUUGAAAUACAUUUUUUAAAAGAUGUCUAUGCUUCAUACUGUUCCAGCCAGAGAAAAAGGUGUAAAUUGCUUCAGACCACAGUAAUGAACCUUUUAAAUACGUCUCACUGACAUCAUCUAUUUUCGGUUUCCUCUUCCAGCUCUGAAGCAAACAUCUCCGCAGGAGCAGAGUGGGAGCUGUCGCUCUCUGUGGGUUGGGAACAUUACAGUAGAAGUUACAGAGAAAGACCUCUGGGAUCUCUUCAAAACGUUUGGUGAGAUAGAGAGCAUCAGAGUUCUUCACCAACGCUUCUGUGCCUUCGUCAACUUCAAGAACGCCAACAUGGCUGCCAGAGCCCUGGAGAAGCUGCAGGUGAGUCAUGGACCGGCUCGGUUUCAGGAGAACAGAGUUUAUUCAUGUAACAAAAACAACCACAGCUGACCAAAGAAAGAAAAUGUGUAAAAUAUGAAUAUUAAAAAAUGUAAUAUAAUAUAAAACAGGGAAUAUGAAAAAGUAAUAUGACAUCAUAGAUAUUUGAGAAUGAAAAUAUUGCACAGUAACAGAUAAAA